UAUUCCAUCAUGAUGAAAUAUUGCGGAUGUAAAUCUAUUGUCACGGCGGAAAAGCGCAAAAAUAAUGUCGAGAUUUCCGUUGCCUUCCUUCUGAUCAUGGAA
rnacentral:snoRNA from 1 species